GUGCGAUCAGGAGGCCCCACAGGUCUGAGAGCAUCAGGAGGGGGCCUGGAAAUCACAGAUUGUGGCAGGAGGGAGCCCAAGAAAUAGCUUAAGGACAGUGUAUGUGGAGCGGGAAGAGGGGGCACAGGGAUGAGAAGCCCUGACCACCCCAAGUUUACAGCAUGGAGGAGUGUAGACGCUAAGGAAGAACAGCACCCUGACCAGGGGACCCUGGGGGUACUUAGGGGCUGUGCACUCUCCCUCCUCUUCACCCGUAAGGAUCCUCUGUGUUAUAAAGAGCUUUUCCUCGAGAUUGUCAGUACAGUGAGGCUGGAGACACUCCCUUUUCUGGACUUCGUCUAGAACCAGCGGGCUCCUGUGGGGGCUGGUCACCUCCUGCAGGUUGUCAGGGGCUCUGGAGUGUGCACAUGUCCCCCUUCAGACUGGUGACACCCCUCCAGGCUGUUAACAUCUCCUGCACUGUUAGCAUCCCUCGGAGGUGUGGGUACCUCCACCAGAGGGUCAGAACACUGAGGGCAUGGGUACUUUCUCCAGGCUGUCAGAGUUCUCUUAGGUGUAGACCCCAUCUCCUUCAGACUGUCCCAGUCCCUCCGGGGUGAGGACACUUCCUUUUCCUGUCAGGAUAGUAUGGGUGUAGACACUGCCUAAGCUGGACUGCCAGGGUCCUGUGGAGUGUGGAGAGCUUGCUCUCUCCUUCAGGUCACUCUGGGACAGAGACCCCUCUUCCCACAAAUUGUCAGGAUCCCCGUCCCAGACUGUCAGGAUCCCUCUGGGGUAUGGCAACCUUCUCCUUCCUCCAGACUGGCAGGUCCUUCUAUGUGUGGACGUUUCUUUCUCCAGACUGUCGGGAUUAUCUGAGUGUGGACUUCUUGUCUAUAGACUCUCAGGGUCCUCUGAAGUGUGGACUGCUCUGCCUCUAGAUCAUCUCUGCCCCGUGGGGCUAUGACCGCACCUACUUCAUGGGUCAUUAUUGGGAGUCUCUCCUCUCCAUCAGUGUCAUUACUACGGUGUGCACACCUUCAGGUGUGUGUCCCUUAGGCCCAUUUCUGUCACUUCCCAACUAUACCACAGCCCUAAGAGACAUCUAGAAAGAUGAAGAUAUCUGGGGUUGUCACCAUGACAACACUCUCAUGGAUUUACAUGGUCAAGGUCCAGGGAUGUCAAUUGUUCCCCCAGUGCAUGAGAUGGUCCGACAUAAAAAGAACUGCUCCACUCCAAAUGCACACCGCAUCCCACCUUAGAACAUGACAUUUGCUGUUGCAGACACUUGCUGGUUAUUCAUACACACACUCCUUUUGUUUUCCACCUAGGUACACGGCUGAGUCACACUUCCCAGCCUCCCUUGCACCAAGUCCCCACAUCCACCCUCAGCAAAUCCUGUCAGCCUCAUCUUCAAACUACAUCCAGAGUCUAACCACUUCAAACCAUCGUCACUGCCACCCCUUUCAUCGCUCGCCUGGAUUCCAGUACUCGACUUCAAAGUCAUAGAGAUUCCUCUUGGAGAUGCCAAGGGCUGGGCAGGAGAGCUUGGCCAGGCGGCACAGGUCCUGUAGCUGAUUCCAAGAAGACUUGCAACACACACUGCAGCCUACAACAAGGAGGCCAGAAAGAACUUACUGGGCAUC